AAACAAAACAAACUUAUUAUUUUACAGUUCUGGAGGUCAGAAGUCUGAAAUGGGUCUCAGGGCUAAAAUCAAGGUGUCAGCAAGGCCGUAUUCCUUCUGUAGGCUCUAAGAGGAAUCCAGGUUGAACCACUGGCAGUAACCGUUUCCCAGCUGAUCACAUUUUGCCUGUAUUGCCUGAGACCAGGCUUCAGUAAUGCCUUAAAACCUUGCUACUCAAAGGGUGGUCCCCAGACCACCAGCAUCAGCAUCACCAGGGAGCUCGCGAGAAAUGCAGUCAGGCCCCACCACAAAUCUGCUGAACCAAAACCUGCCUGUCAACAGGAUCCCCAGACCUACAGCCACUGCAGACUCGACAGUAGAUGCAGAAGCAACAACCCACGUAAAACGCUCCACCAGCUCCCACAACUGUGCCACUUGUAAUUCACCACUUAGAGACAACCACGGCAACGUCAUGGGAGAUUAGCCCUGAGCUAACAUCCGCUGCCAAUCCUCCUCUUCUUGCUGAGGAAGAUUGGCCCUGAGCUAACAUUUGUGCCCAUCUUCCUCUAUUUUCUAUGUGGGACGCCUGCCACAGCAUGGCUUGAUGAGCGAUGUGCAGGUCUGUGCCUGGGAUGCAAACCAGUGAACCCCGGGCUGCUGAAGCGGAGUGCACGAACUUUGCUAUACCACUGGGCUGGCCCCAAGGAUGACUUUCUAAUAGGCUGUUCUGCAUGUUGCUCGACCUUCCUGCCUGAUGCUCCACUGUCACCAUCAGCUGAACACCGCAGGGGUGCGGCUGCCUGAGAACGACCUGAAGAAACUACUCUCCUCUGGCCAGUCUCUAGGCUUCAGAGCACAUCCAGAGUGUUCAGAGAGCUGUCAGUGCCUUGGGCAAGAGAGAUCCAGGAUUCCAAGGAGAAGGAGACACUAGCUCAACCCACCAGUAGAAAAGACCUUGGAUCGGGGCUGGCCCCGUGGCCGAGUGGUUAAGUUCACGUGCUCUGCUGCAGGCGGCCCAGUGUUUCGUUGGUUCGAAUCCUGGGCGCGGACAUGGCACACUGCUCA
rnacentral:lncRNA from 1 species